AGCAGCAGAGGGAGGUUAAGAAGCAGGCUCCCUGCUGAACAAGGAGCCCGACAAGGGACUCGAUCCCAGGACCCCGGGAUCAUGACUGGAGCAGAAGGCCGAGGCUUCACCGACUGAGCCGCCCAGUGCUGUUUUGCAGAGUGUGUGCACAGAAAAGAAUAACGAGGAAUAAAUGCUUUGCUACCUCCCAGAACUGACAACUGCUUAGGGAAGAGGGAUUGAACAUCUGUUUUGCAGGAACAACUGAGCUCCUCUCAGCCAAGUAGGCAAACUGCAGAACCUUCUCGCAUCUUCCUCCAUCUUCCUCCCCAAGGCAAAUGGAACCAUGGGCAUGCGGUGGUGGCUGUGAGGACGGCCCCCUGUGGAUCUCGCCAGGUGGGUGGGAUAAGCCCAGCCACGUGGCAGACCCUGCUUUGGUGAAGUGGGACAAAGACAGCACCUGCCUCCUAGGCCCAUGAGCUUUUGCUCUGUAAGUACACACGGAGCCUACAGAAUUGCCCGUGGCACACAGUGAGUGCCCAGCAAAUGCCAGCAUUCUCCUCCUGUUUUAAAAGGCCUCUGUGGCUCGUCAAGCAAGUAGCAGGCAAACAAAGUCAUGUAAGCAUCUGAGGAUAGGGACCCCAUUUCCCAGAUGAGGAAUAAAGCUUCAAAAGCAAUGAAACAAAGUAGCGUGAUUCACAAUCGCUGAGAGGUGGAAGCAACCCAUGUUCAUUGGGGUACUGGUGGAUUAACCAAGCAUGGUGCAUCCAUGUGGUGGAAUGUUCCUCAGCCCUAAAAAGGAAGGGCAGGCUGACACCUGCCACACCGUGGACGGAGCUUAGAGAUGUCACGCUCAUGAGAUUAAACAAGUCGUGGAAAGACAAAUCAUUCUGGAUGAUUUCACUUUACAUGAGGGCUGCAGAGGAGUCCAGCUCCUAGAAACAGGGGCACCUGGGUCUCUCAGUCAUUAAACGUCUGCCUUCGGCUCAGGUCGAGCCCCAUGUUGGGCUCCCUGCUCUACUGGGAAGCCUGCUUCUCCUUCUCACACUCCCCCUGC